rnacentral:rRNA from 1 species
UACGAAGGGUGCAAGCGUUACUCGGAAUUACUGGGCGUAAAGGGCGCGUAGGCGGUCGGAUAAGUCUUGUGUGAAAUCUUCGGGCUCAACUCGAAGUCUGCACAGGAAACUAUCUGGCUUGAGUGUGGGAGAGGUGAGUGGAAUUCCUGGUGUAGCGGUGAAAUGCGUAGAUAUCAGGAGGAACACCUGUGGCGAAAGCGGCUCACUGGACCACAACUGACGCUGAGGCGCGAAAGCUAGGGGAGCAAACAGG